GCUUCCUGUUGAGACGGUCUCCAGUGAAGAGGACACUGCUAACAGCGAGGCGCCACACACUGGUCAUAUAAAGGGAAUUUUCACCCAGAUGCAUAAGCAGUAGAAAUGAAAAAGCCAAACUUAAAGCUCCAUGGUUUUGAUGUUUUCCUGACAAAUAUCACAUUCUCAAAAUAUCCACCACUGGGCAGCGUCGGUGUCUACAGCCCUUUGCAUUUUGAGAUCUUGCUCGUGGAGGUGGUACUCUCUGAAUCUGCCCAAGUGGAUGAUCACUCAUUCUGAGCAAAUCAGAACUAUCACAGCCAGCUGAGAUUCCGUGUUGUAGCUGCCCUUAAUGCUUUGCUUCUUUACCUUCCAAAUUUCACCUCUUUUGCCCAUAAAUCGUAGCAAAAGGGCAGAAACAAUACAGUUUGCUUCUUGGCAUUUGUGUUCUUAUUUGGGCUUUAAGGAUUAGAUUUAGGUGAGAAGCUCUCUUAAAAAACUCUCUUUAGGAGUUUCCGUUGUGGCGCAGUGGUUAACGCAUCUGACUAGGAACCUUGAGGUUCCCAGGCUGGGCGUUGAGUUGGAGCUACAGCUGCCAGCCUAGCCACGGCCACAGCCACGCCAGAUCCAAGCCCCAUCUGCGACCUACACCACAGCUCAUGGCAAUGCCAGAUCCUUAACCCACUGAGCAAGGCCAGGGAUCGAACUGGCAUCCUCAUGGUUCCUAGUCGGAUUAGUCUCUGCUGUGCAACGGGAACUCCUGAACUGGAUUUUAAAAGAUGACUAACGGAAUCCCCUUGUAGUGCAGUGGGCUAAGGACUCAGUGUUGUCAUUGCCGUGGCUCGGGUUACCACUGUAGCAUGGAUUUAAUCCCUGGCCUGGGAAAUUCAGGUGGGACCAAAAAAUAAUAAUAAAAAGGAUGGCUAAGAAUUCACCUUGUGGUUUUCUUAGAGGUAAGAGGGAGGAAAGAAGAGUAUUUGGAACAGGGAAACAUCCCAUGCAAAAGCAGUCGAUGUUGAGUAACCAAAAAUUGUUGCGCCAUAUUGGUAACCAAAUAAUUUGCCCUGACGGAAUAUUGGCUGUUGAGUCCGAGAGAGCAAGAAAAGUCUAGGUGAAGCCCAAGUUUCUGGCUUAGGCCAGUGUAUGAAUUCUGUGCCUUUCACCAAACAAGUGAAGCCCGAGUUUGAGGGAAGAGAGUUCAGGUUGGGGGCUAUUCCACUUGUAGUGAUGAGAGAUCCAUGUGGAGACAAACUGUUUGAAGUUGGCGUCACAGGUCAGGUGCCUAUGAAAGAUUUAAGGGCUUAAAAUAGCAGAGAUAUAGAAGGUAAGUCUUUGGAUAUAAUUACAAAAAAUCCAACAUCUCAGUGGCUUAACACUAAAAAAAGCUGUUUCUUGUUCAUGCUCUCUGUCCAAUGCAGAUUAGCAAGACUCUGCUUCAGACCAACCCUGAGAAGAACCAGGCUGAUGGAAGGGUCACAUCUUGUCACCCAAUAACUGGCCCAGAAGUGACAGAUGGCUUCUACCUCUACCCUAUUGGCAGAAGUGAUCACCUGGCUCUAGCCAAUCACAAAGAGGCUGAAAAAUACCGUUUUGUGUAUGCCCAGAAGCGGAAGAAAAACAAGUAUUGGUUAAGAGCAGCAAUGCCUGACUCAGAAAGGAACUGGCUGUACAAUUAAACCUCUGGCAUCUUUGCUAUUUUAUAUGCAGCAUGCUGCUUUCUAUUAUCCAACUAUCAUUCCUGCAGGCUUAUCACACGAAGCAGUUCCCCGAACACGCCCAGCUAUUUCACCCUUUCAUUCAACGUGCACCUUCAAUCAAGAUGCCUCUCGAUACCCGUGCAUCUCCUGUCUCCUCUGCCUGGCACAUCCUUUUCUCUUCCCCACAUGGCACUCAAGCUGCAAAAUUAACUCCUUGAAACCUUUCCUAACCCUCUCACAGGCAGGGCUGAGGACUCCUCUUUCUCUGUGUAAUCACCCUAAAUACCUCUAUCGGUGUAUCAAGAUUGGUAAUUUACACAUCCAUUGCCUGGGUAAGCUGUGUCUCUCUUUUUUUUCUUUUUCGGCCACAGCCGUGCCAUAUGGAAGUUCCCAGGUCAGGGAUUCAAUCCGAGCUGGAGCAGCAACACCGGAUCCUUAACCCACUGUGCUGGGCCCCAGGGAUGGAACUGGUGCCUUCAAAGAGACAGGCUGGAUCAUUAACUGACUGCUCCACGGCAGGAACUAGGCCACACCUACAGCAUCUCCAGAUUUGAGCCACAUCUGUGACCUACCCUACAGCUCAUGGCAGUGCUAGAUCCUUAACUCACUGAGCGAGGCCAGGGAUUGAACCUGCAUCUUCAUGGAUACUAGUUGGGUUCGUGACCUGCUGAACCACAGUGGGAACUCCCCUCACUGGGGUUUAUAUAUGCAUUUCCCCGAUGCUUAGGGAUGUUGAGUAUCUUUUUGUGUCCCCAUUGGCCAUUUGGAUAUCUUUGGGAAAAUGUCUAGUGUCUCCAAUCAUUUUUUAAACCGGUAUGAGUUUUGAGUAGUAUGAAUUCUUUAUGUGUUUUGGUUAUUAACUCUUUGGUAUUAACUCUUUAUUUGGUACGUAUGCCCUGCCAAGUAUUUUUCUCCCAUUCUGUAGGCUACCUUUCCAUUUUGUUGGUUUCUUUUUCUGUGCAGAAGCUUUUUGGUUUGAUGUAGUCCCACUUGUUAAUUUUUUGCCUUUGUCAUAUGUGUUUUUGGUGUCAUAGACCAAAAAAUCAUUGCCAAGACCAAUAUCAGGAAGCUCUUUGUUUUCUUCUAGAAGUUUUACAGUAUCCGAUCUUAAAAAUCUUUGAUCCAUUUUGAGUGAAUUUUUGUGAGUAUAAAAGGAAUCGUUUCUUUCUUCUGCAUUUGUUUAUCCAGUUUUCCAAAUACCAUUUGUUGAAGAGACUAUCCUUUCCCCAUUGGGUAUUUUUGGUUCCCUUAAUAUUAGUUGACCAUAUAUGUGGGGGUUUAAUUCUGAGGUCUCUACUCUGUUCCAUUCUGUGUAUCUAUUUUUAUACCAGUCCCAUACUGUUUUAAUUACUAUGGUCUGUGGUAUAGUUUGAAACCAGGAAGUAUGAUGCUUCCAGAUUUGCUCUUCUCAUAAUUUUGUUAUUUGGGAUCUUUUGUGGUUCCAUACAAAUAUUUAGGAUUUUUUUUCUAUUUCUGUGAAAAAUGUCAUUUGAAUAUUGAUAGGAAUAACAUUGAAUCUAUAGAUGGCUUGGGUAGAAAUGGACAUUUUAACAGUAUCAAUCCUUCCAAUUCAUAAGCAUAAGCUAUCUUUCCAUUUGUCUGCAUCGCCUUUGGUUUCUUUCAACAGUCUUGUAGUUUUCAUUGUACAGAUCUUUUACUUCAUUGAUGAAAUUUAUUCCUGGUAUUUUGAUGCUAUUGGGAAUGGGAUAGUUUUAUUUUUCAGAUGUUUCAUUGUUGGUGUACAGAAAUGCAGCUGACUUGUGUGUGAUGAUUUUGUAUCCUACUAAAUUCAUUGAUUACUUCUAACAGUUUUUUGGUUGAGAUUUUGAGAUUUUCCGAUAUGGUCAUUCUUUGGUAUCUGCAGGAGACUGAUUUCAAGAACCCCCACUGACACCCAUGGGUGCAGAGGGCUGACUGUAUCAUAUCAUCUCUUUGCAAAUGAAAAUUUUACUUCUUCCUUUCUGAUUUGGAUAGAUUUUCUUUCACUGUCUUGCCUAACUGCUCUAGUGAGGACUUAGAAUGCUAAUAUUGAAUAAGAAUGGUAAGAGUGGGCAUCCUUGUCUUAUUCCUGAUCUUAGAAGAAAAACUCAAUUUUUCACUGUUGAGCAUGUUUGCUGAGGGCUUGUCACAUCUGCCCUUUAUUUUGUUGAGGUAUAUUCCUUCCAUAUCCAAUCUGUUGUGGAAAAGAUGCUGCAUUUUGUUAUAUGUAUUUUGUGACAUUUCUUUCAUUCCAUUAAUGUGGUGUAUAACAUUUAUUGACUUGUGUAUGUUGAACCAUCCUUGUAUCCCAAGGAUAAAUACCGGCUAAAGCUUAUAUUUAGUUGCUCCUAUGUUGAAUGCACACAUCUUUAUGAUUGUUUUAUCUUGUUUACCAACCCUCUUUAUCAUUACAUAAUGACAGUCUUUGCUGCUUGUUAUUGUUUAUUGAGUUUCUUCAAGACAGCAAGUCUGAAUUUUUUAUCUGCUAAAUCACAGUAUCCUGUGGCUUUCAGCUCGGGUGUUGGGGAAUUAUUGAUAUCUUCUGGGGUGACAUAUUUUCUUGUUUUUUCAUGUUUCCUAUAUUUCUCCAUAGCUGUUUUUGCAUGUGACAUAGCAGACCCCUCCUACAAUCUUGACUGGCUGCCCUCAGCUGGGAUGCGGAUCCCUGGUGUUGCCACAGGAAGGGUUUGCUCAGUUUUGAAUGGGUAGACCUGUUCCACUCGUCUUGUUCUGUCUUGGGGCAGAAUUCUCAACCUUUUAUGUUUCCUCUCCUUAGAACUCCCCAGGCUGGCUGCUGGAAACCUCUCUUUUGUUUUCCAGAAGAUGGUGGCAUAGCUCCAGUUGUAAUUCCUCCCUUACUCAUGGACCCUAGUCCAUUUUUCUGAGCUGCUCCAACCACUGGGCCUGCUCUCACUGCCACACUCGGGAGAUGCAGAAGGAUCCGGCCACGGAAUGGGAGCAGUCAUGGAGGUCCCACCCCAAAGCUCUGGGUGCUGCUGUGGGGGAAAGAGGUUCUGCCAGGAGGGACCCCAACAAUAGGAAUGGCCUGGCACUGACUCACUGCUUCCCACCUCCUCCAGGAGAAGAUGUCUGUGCAGCUCCUACUGGGUAUGUGAUUGUCAACGAAAGAGAACGUUUCCUUUUUAUUUUUCCUCCUAUAAAGUUACUAACACUUCAUCAUUUACUUGUACCAAAACUUAGUAUCAUUAACAAGGGGAAAAAUAGUUUGCUUGCUUGAGGACUAGCGUUAAAUACUCAUUACAGUAGAUGUCAUCUAUGAACUUAGGAAAGAAUAGUUUAAAAGAAAAAUGGCACAGUGUGAAACCAUUUCCCUGCAAUACUUUAAAAUAUAUUCUAGAAGUUCCCAUUGUGGCUCAGAGGGUUAAGAACCUGACUAGUUUAUCCAUGCAUGAAGAGGCGGGUUCGAUCCCUGGCCUCGCUCAAUGGGUUAAGGAUCUGGCAUUGUCCCCAGCUGUGGCAUAGGUCGCAGAUGCAGCACAGAUCCAGCUUGGCUGUGGCUGUGGUGUAGGCUGGCAGCUGCAGCUCUGAUUUGAUCCGUAGCCUGGGAAUUUCCAUAUGCUGCAGAUGUGGCCCUAAAAAGAAAAAUAUACACAUAUAUUGUAACUAUAAAAUAUUAUAUAAAAUAAUAAUGGAUAUAGUCAAAAUAAACAUGACAGUCAUCUUUCA
rnacentral:lncRNA from 1 species